rnacentral:rRNA from 1 species
GAGUUUGAUCGUGGCUCAGGAUGAACGCUGGCGGCGUGCCUAACACAUGCAAGUCGAACGGAGUUUAUGAGGAAGAAGCUUCGGCGGAAUUCUUAUAAACUUAGUGGCGGACGGGUGAGUAACACGUGGAGAACCUGCCUCUUACCGGGGGACAGCAGUUGGAACGACUGAUAAUACCGCAUAAGCGCACGAGACCGCAUGGUCCUGUGUGAAAAGAUUUAUCGGUAAGAGAUGGCUCCGCGUCUGAUUAGCCAGUUGGCGGGGUAACGGCCCACCAAAGCGACGAUCAGUAGCCGGCCUGAGAGGGUGAACGGCCACAUUGGGACUGAGACACGGCCCAGACUCCUACGGGAGGCAGCAGUGGGGGAUAUUGCACAAAUGGAGGAAACUACUGAUGCAGCGACGCCGCGUGAGUGAAGAAGUAUUCGGUAUGUAAAGCUCUAUCAGCAGGGAAGAAAGACCGUCGAAAAGA